rnacentral:rRNA from 1 species
CACGUAGGGCGCGAGCGUUGUCCGGAAUUAUUGGGCGUAAAGAGCUCGUAGGCGGCCUGUUGCGUCCGCUGUGAAAGCCCGGGGCUUAACCCCGGGUCUGCAGUGGAUACGGGCAGGCUAGAGGUAGGUAGGGGAGAAUGGAAUUCCCGGUGUAGCGGUGAAAUGCGCAGAUAUCGGGAAGAACACCCGUGGCGAAGGCGGCUCUCUGGGACGGUACUGACGCUGAGACGCGAAAGCGUGGGGAGCGAACAGG